AUGCCGCCCAACUGCCCCCUCCCAUUUCUGCUUCCCCGGUUUCGUUUUCUUUCCUUGGAAGCUUCGCUGCCGUGCUCUCCUUUCUUCCCAAUUGUUUUCACUUUGUUGCCGUCCAUGGAGACCGCGAGGAACACUUUCGUUGUUUGCGCCGUCGCCGUCGUGGGAGACGAAGGUAUUCUCCGUUUCGACCCCGGCGACCUAAUCCUUCCAUUCUUGCUGUUCCAAGGAGUUCUUUGUGCCGUCAAGCCGCCCUCUGGUUCUUCCAUCCGUCGUCUUCAGGCCUCCCCUUUUGAAGGUGAUUCCUUGCUACGGUUUUACAUCCUUUACUCGCUUUAUGGUCUCCGCUUCCGUUAUGUGUGCAUUUAUGUUGUGUCCAUUGGGGAGAAGAGAGUGGGUAGUUGGGACGGACGUCGACAGUCAACGUUCCUCUUUUUUCCUUUUGUUGUCCACAGGCCAGAGCAUGUAUGCUAUGGCUGUCCCUGGGCUUUAUCUGGUCUCCUCUUUCUUACGCCUUGCCUACACUUCACACACGCUCCUUCUGUAGUUCAUUGGCUUGCUUUGUCUAUUUUUUGAGUAGUCUCUC
rnacentral:lncRNA from 1 species